CUGGACUUUAUAUUGCGAUAGGCAACUUUCAUAAAUUAGGUGCGUUAACGCCACGGACCUCGUUCAUCUUUCAGUCGCCCACAUGGGUAUAACCAAUGAGGAGAUGGGACGUGGGUACCUGCUUCUAUAAACCAAUGAGGAGAUGGGAGAGGCAGGACUUGUAGCGUGAUCUGCGUCACAAAUAGAAAUGACGUCUAUUUUAGCGCUUGGCAAAGGCAGACACUCGCGAGCAGUGUGGGUGCAAUAAUUGAAUAAUAUAGAUUUCUAAAUUUAUUUUACGACGUGAGCGGUGCACUCGGCCUGUCAGUUCUAUUUGUGACGCAGAUCGCGCUGCAAUUCCUGCCUCUCCCAUCUCCUCAUUGGUUGGACCAGUAACUGAAAGUUUGCAAGGUCGAAUCCCGGAGCUGACAAGGUGGUGCCAGCACAUGUGAAGAUCAAGAGGAGAGCAGCGACGAGGUGUUCAUCCACCAGGGCCUGCCCAGCCCUGGUGGAUGUCACUCAUUCAUGUGAGGUCAGCAAGAUCAGCUGUGGGUCCCGCCAUACUGCGGCAGUCACAAGUGAAUAUAGCCAGCUGGGACAGGGGACUGUG
rnacentral:lncRNA from 1 species